AUGAGUGUUGGAAUUUGUGGGUACGGAGAGACAACAUUUGGACUCUCAGAAAAAAGCUGUAAACUGGGGAACAGGCUGAGGCCCUUUGUGAAGAGAUGGGUUAAAACCAGUGAAGCAGGAGCUAUUCCAGUGUCCAGUGUCCUCAGCUCAUUCUCCCGUGGUGAUGCUGCCAGAGAGCAGAGACCAGCCAUCAGAAGCACAUUAAUUCUGGUCUUUUCUUGUAUCUCUCAAAUAGUGCCCAAAAAAAAGAGACACUGUUUGCACCCCCGGGCUCACUGGUUCAGUCUUUCUCCUUCUUCCCCGGCUUCUCACCACUCCUCAUGCACUGUCGGUGGAAGCCCUGCCUCUACCUGCAAUAGGAAACUGAGCCGAGAGACGGUCCCCUUAUGGCCUCUAACCUGCGCAUCUCAGGCACGAGGAAAUACGGAAGCAGGACAAGAAGCAAGAAAACAGAGACCAAGAGAGAGGCCAAAGCAAAUUAAUGCUGAACACUGGGGAGAAGCCCAUCCUUCUUCAGCUGCUGGUGAGUCGGUAUGA
rnacentral:lncRNA from 1 species